rnacentral:rRNA from 1 species
CACGAAACUUGCCCCGAGAUGAGUUCUCCCUGAGACUUUAAGUCUCCUGAAGGAACGUCAAAGACGAUGCCGUUGAUAGGCCGGGUGUGUAAGCGCAGCGAUGCGUUGAGCUAACCGGUACUAAUGAACCGUGAGGCUUAACCUUACAACGCCGAAG